GCACAUGAAUGAAGUAUUAAAUAUAAACAAAAAAUAAUUAUAUAUAGUUUGUCUAUAAAUUGUAAGACGAAUUUUUUAUAUUCUAUGAUUAGACAAUAUUUAUAAAAUAAAAACAAAAAUUCUACAAUGUUAAAAUUUUAAAAAAAUAGAUCUAAAGCAGGCUUCCCCGGUCGUAUGCAACAACACCGCCAGCUGCGCAGCGGCAUCGAUCAUCUGGAAUUUUUUUUAUUUUUAGCCUAAAUUUGAAACAAAUUUCAAUUUUGAUCUGGUUAUAAUUUUUUUUAAAAACUAGGCCGUUUAGCCCCGCCACCAUGCAUAGCGCGACAAAUAUACAGUACCCCGUCAUACAUGGCGGCCGAGUAGAGAUGUCACGUGGCUACCACCUGCCAGCCCGUGCGAUCCAUGACGGGUUAGCCGACCCCGCCGUGGAUCAUGGCGGGUUCAGUAGAAAGCCGGUGUCAGGCUAUGCAUGCUUUGUUUUAGUUCACCCAAAAAACUAAAACUUUUUAAGAUUUACCGUCACAUUAAAUUUUAGAGCACAUGAAUGAAGCAUU
rnacentral:lncRNA from 1 species